AGAGAGAGAGAGAGAGAGAGAGAGAGAGAGAGAGAGAGAGAGAGCGCUCUCCCAAACGGAAGUUAGGGUAGAUGGGGCAAGACAAUAGCUUGACAACCACAUAAUCACGCCCUAGUUUCUCUAGGGGCUGCAGAGUCGGUUUUGAAAGAAGGUUUGACAAAUCCUCUUAGCAGAAAGUCGCUGGACUUUGCGCACAUUACUAGUAGGGGCUGCGGAUUUUGGAACUUACAACCGAAGGAGAUCAUCUUUAAAGUGCAUUUCACCAAGAAUAUUGUGAAAGAUGACACAAGAGAAGAUGCCAUCAGUUGAGCCACAUAAAGAUAUAAAGAUAUGGAGGAAAGUCACCAGCGAGAUCAGCGAUUUACCAGAUUCGAUGGGGUUGCAAUUGGAGCUUUAUUGCACGACUUACAACCCAUACAAUAUCUCGACUCUUGGAUAAGAAAUUCAAAGAAGCGCUUCCAAACCUCUUCUGGAUCCUACAACUGGUUAAACGAAGCAUUCCCUCGAAAAUCCAAGAUGUUGGGAUUCGUGAUUAGUGGAUGUUUUAACAUGCUAAUGAUUGGAGUGAUGACACAUCUAUCAGUAUCUAAGAUGUGCCAUUCUCGAGUACUGAUAUUCUUCAAUAGGGGAGUUGUCUUAUUAGUGGGAUUAUUUAUAUUAUUUUUCAUUCCAAUGACGGAGAGCCUACCAGAGAACCAGCUAGUGGAGAACAUAUGGAGAAAACACUGGUUUUGAGGAAGAUUGGUAUUUGAUACCAAUUAGAGGGGGCAGGCAAUUUGAUUGAAAGAAACCAUGAUUUGCAUUUCUAUUCUGUACAAAUGGAUCAAGAGUUUUAAGAACAUUGAAAGAAACUUUACCAGAGAACCAACUAGUAGAGAACAUAUGGAGAAAACACUGGUUUUGGAGAAGAUUGAUAUUUGAUACCAAUUAGAGAUACAAGUUCGACAUGGAUCACGCAGCGGAAGAUCAUCAAACGGAUUUGAUGACCAUCACUCGUUUUGUUCAUAACGAGCAAUCCAGGUACCCAGAAUCUCGUGGUGAUUUAACCAUCUUGC